rnacentral:rRNA from 1 species
UGCCUGUCGAUGCAGGCUGUUCAUAUAUCUAAAUCAUAUGUGAAGAAAGGGCAGGGCAAGACCGGUGCCAGCCGCCGCGGUAAUACCGGCUGCUCGAGUGAUGGCCACUAUUACUGGGUUUAAAGCGUCCGUAGCUUGACUGUUAGGUCUCUUGGGAAAUCUUCGCGCUCAACGUGAAGGCGUCUAAGAGAUACCGGCAGUCUUGGAACUGGGAGAGGUAAACCGUACUUCGGGGGUAGGAGUGAAAUCUUGUAAUCCUCGAGGGACGACCUAUGGCGAAGGCAGUUUACCAGAACAGCUUCGACAGUGAGGGACGAAAGCUGGGGGAGCAAACGGGAUUAGAUACCCCGGUAGUCCCAGCCGUAAACAAUGUGCGUUAGGUGUGUCGGUAACCACGUGUUACUGAUGCGCCGAAGAGAAAUCGUGAAACGCACCACCUGGGAAGUACGGUCGCAAGGCUGAAACUUAAAGGAAUUGGCGGGGGAGCACCACAACAGGUGGAGCCUGCGGUUUAAUUGGAUUCAACGCCGGACAUCUCACCGGAUAAGACAGCUGAAUGAUUGUCAAUCUGAAGGUUUUACAUGACUAGCUGAGAGGAUUUGCCUGUGGGCCA